CGCAUCUGUGCUGCAGCAUAUCAAUAAGCGGAGGAAAAGAAACUAACAAGGAUUCCCCUAGUAACGGCGAGUGAAGCGGGAAGAGCUCAAAUUUGAAAUCUUAAAGGGUUUCCCUUUACGAAUUGUAGUUUAAAGAAGUGUUUUCUGUUGAGGUUUUGGUAAAAGUUCUUUGGAAUAGGACAUCAUAGAGGGUGAGAAUCCCGUAUUUGACCUUUACUUUCAACUUUGUGAUACACUUUCAAAGAGUCGGAUUGUUUGGGAAUGCAGUCCAAAAUGGGUGGUAAAUUUCAUCUAAAGCUAAAUAUUGGCGAGAGACCGAUAGCGAACAAGUACCGUGAGGGAAAGAUGAAAAGAACUUUGAAAAGAGAGUUAAACAGUACGUGAAAUUGUCAAAAGGGAAGCGUUUGACACCAGUGUUGUUUUUCUGAAAAUCAAUUAAAGAACUGUUUAUGCUAAGUUGUUUAGACUUUAUCAGCUAUCUGUUUAGUUUUGAGCUUUUCUUUAAUGCACUUUUCAGUUAACAAGUCAACAUCAAUUUCUUUUGCUGUAAAAAAGCUUGAGGAAGGUGGCUUGAGAUUCGUCUUAAGUGUUUAUAGCCUCUUGCCUAUGCAGUCGGAGAGAUUGAGGUCUGCAGCGUAGAUCCUUCGGGGCUAAAUGCAUUUGUGCUAAGUUAUAACAUUUUAUAGACAACUUGUUGACUAUGAUUUGUCUUGUAGCUUACUCGCUUAUGUUAUUUUACCUACGCUUAGGAUGUUGAACGCGCACAGAGUCUC
rnacentral:rRNA from 1 species